GACGAACGCUGGCGGCGUGCUUAACACAUGCAAGUCGAACGGAAAGGCCCCUUUGGGGGUACUCGAGUGGCGAACGGGUGAGUAACACGUGAGUAACCUGCCCUUGACUUCGGGAUAACUUCAGGAAACUGGGGCUAAUACCGGAUAGGAAUCCUUGCUGCAUGGUGGGGGUUGGAAAGCUUCGGCGGUUUUGGAUGGACUCGCGGCUUAUCAGCUUGUUGGUGGGGUAGUGGCUUACCAAGGCUUUGACGGGUAGCCGGCCUGAGAGGGCGACCGGCCACAUUGGGACUGAGAUACGGCCCAGCCUCCUACGGGCGGCAGCAGUGGGGAAUAUUGCACAAUGGGCGGCAGCCUGAUGCAGCAACGCCGCGUGCGGGAUGACGGCCUUCGGGUUGUAAACCGCUUUCAGCAGGGGCGAAGCUUGUGGUGACGGUACCUGCAGAAGAAGCACCGGCUAACUACGUG
rnacentral:rRNA from 1 species